rnacentral:rRNA from 1 species
GUCCUACNGGAGGCAGCAGGGUCCUACGGGAGGCAGCAGUGGGGAAUUUUCCGCAAUGGGCGAAAGCCUGACGGAGUGACGCCGCGUGGGGGACGAAGGCCUUCGGGUCGUAAACCCCUGUCAGAGGGAAAGAAGGGUGUCGGCGUGAAUAGCGCCGGCAUCUGACGGUACCUUCAGAGGAAGCCCCGGCCAACUCUGUGCCAGCAGCCGCGGUAAGACAGAGGGGGCAAGCGUUGCUCGGAAUCACUGGGCGUAAAGGGCGCGUAGGCGGGAUGGCAAGUCGGUCGUGAAAUCCUUCGGCUCAACCGAAGAACGUCGGCCGAUACUGCCGUUCUUGAGGGAUGCAGAGGAGAUUGGAAUUCCCGGUGUAGCGGUGAAAUGUGUAGAGAUCGGGAGGAACACCGGUGGCGAAGGCGGGUCUCUGGGCAUCUCCUGACGCUGAGGCGCGAAAGCGUGGGGAGCAAACGGGAUUAGAUACCCCGGUAGUCCACGCUGUAAACGAUGAGGACUAGGUGUGGGGGGGGGUUAGUCCCUUCCGUGCGG